rnacentral:rRNA from 1 species
GACGAACGCUGGCGGCGUGCCUAAUACAUGCAAGUAGACCGCAGUUGCGAACGGGUGAGUAACGCGUAGGUACCUGCCUCAUAGCGGGGGAUAACUAUUGGAAACGAUAGCUAAUACCGCAUACUGUGAAAUGCACCCGCGUGGUAUUAGCUAGUUGGUGGGGUAAAGGCCCACCAAGGCGACGAUACAUAGCCGACCUGAGAGGGCGAUACGUCAAACGGGGACUGGGACACGGCCCAGACUCCUACGGGAGGCAGCAGUAGGGAACCGUCGGCAAUGGACGGAAGUCUGACCGAGCGUCGCCGCGUGAGUGAAGAAGGUUUUCGGAUCGGAAAGCUCGCUUGUUAGACAAGCGGUAACUAACCCGAAAGGGACGGCUAACUACGUGUCAGCAGCCGCGGUAAUAC